ensembl:lncRNA
UCAGGAGUUACCAUGUGAAAAAAAUUGGUCACCAAACAAUGCUGAAUCUUCAGGUAAUCAUUUAUUGAACUAAAUCAUGAAAAUGUGAAAUAAGUUAGAUAUACAGUAGCUAUUAAUCACAGUGAAUCGUGAACUCAUGUCAAUUAAGAAUUUUCCUCCAGAUGUACCCUAUCAUGAGAAAGAGAUGGCUAGUGUGAACCUCUCUGAGACAAAAACAGGAACCGCUCAAGAUUAUCCUCACAAACCCCUGGCUGAGAGCGACUUCAGUGGAAGAAAGCAACGAAAAGUAGCAAAAUUGACGCAGGUCCGGGACUACUUCACCCAAAGAGGUAAUGAGGCACAAGAGAAAGAGAAAGGAACAAAUAUACCACAGGAACAUCCUCCAAAUAUACCACAGGAACAACCUCCAAAUAUACCACAGGAACAACCUCCAAAUAUACCACAGGAACAACCUCCAAAUAUACCACAGGAACAACCUCCAAAUAUACAGCAGGAACAACCUCCAAAUAUACCGCAGGAACAACCUCCAAAUAUACCGCAGGAACAACCUCCAAAUAUACCACAGGAACAACCUCCAAAUAUACCACAGGAACAACCUCCAAAUAUACCACAGGAACAACCCUUGCCACCACAGCGCAGGAAAAGAGCUGGGCUGCAGGUGACUCCUGAUUCCCUAGCUACGUACAACAAACCGUGUUCUGGUGUCCAGGACAGUCUUUCUGGGGAGGAGUCAGGGAAGCCUGAGAAUAUUGACUCAACCAUAAGCUCAGCCCUAUCAGAGUUGAAUGUGAAGCAGGCCUCACCAAUCCACAGAUGUCGGUCAGAUUCAACUGAUCAAGUCACUGCUCUUAGACUAACUGAUAAUAUGUCUGUUUUCCAAGUAGAGGAAACUGCUCAGAUGCAUUUGGAAAUGGAAAAGCGUAGACCUGUCUUUAGUAUAGAUGGAACACAUUCACAUAACACUGUCAGCUAUACUUUUGAAAAUGUUGUGGCCCCAUUAUACCAUCAGGCAUUUGGUGGAGUGGAGAAUGAUAAUCAGACAGUAACCAAUGGUGUGAAUCAAAUUAGGAUGAGAUUGCAUGUAGGGCAUCCAACAGCUCAGAGAACCCAGAGUUAUCCAUCCGCAGAAGAAGUGGAAACUCACUCCUGUGUUUCAGCUGGUACUUGGGAAACACCUAAAGAGAAGCCUAUGGAUCAACCUGAAUUAUUCUUAGAACAUCUCCCCUCUGGAUUAAGUGAAGAAGAGUCUGAGCCUGAACCACUGUUAGAACAGGCAAGAGGCCUUUCCAGGACUCACUUUCCCAUGAACACUAAUGCUGCUGUUCUCACCGUCUCCAGUGAGGACUCAGAACUCCAGGGGUCACAAGAGAACAUGUGGUCUUCACAAAACCAAAUUUGUCAGGACAACAAGAUUUUACAAACUCUGAUAGUCGCAACAAAAGGCGAGCUUCCAAAGUCACACACUGAAAUGGGGUUGAAGCUGAUCCCUGCUAAGAUGACUUUGCCGAGUGCUAGCGAAGGAUAUGAAAAACCUGCGGAGUCAGGCAAAAUGAUGUACUCAGCCAAUGCGGAUGAGUGGUCAACAGGCAUUAAAUUAGUUGCUGAUGCUGAUCUCAAAGUAUUUAAUUCAGCGACAGAGGCGGAUGAGAAGAUCACAACUAACCACCAAAACAUUGCUGUGCCCAGUUCAGACAAACUGGAGGACACCACUGAGACAACUUUGAAGGAGGAUCCCAAUGUCAUAAAGAAAUGGACAUUGUUGGAGAAAUCUGUGAUAAGAAAACCAACAGAUCAAGUUGAAGAUGAACUGUCAUUUGAAGUGUCAAGCACCGUUUUUAAUGAACCCAAGAGAUAUUGUAUUGACAAUGAAGAGAGCGAGGCAGUUAGAGAGAUGACAAACGAUGAUCCCGAUAAAUACGCUGACAAGGUCUCAAACUCCACAGAUAAUAUUCCUAAAGAUGAACUAAUAAGGAACAAUGAAGAUAAUUUAAUUUAUACUGAGAAUGAGAUAGAGGCAAGAGAUGGACAGCAAAUGCUAAAGAAAAAUAACAUUGAAAAAGACUGGAGGGAAAAUGUGCAAGAGCAGGAGGAGAUGAUGGUCGGGGAGUUUCAGGAGAAAGAGAUGGCGGAGGAGAAGGUGAAAGAACAACAGAGGGAGGAGCUUGAGGAGGAUGUUACAUGGCGAUUAAGGGAGGAGGUGGUGGUGGAAGAAAGCAAAAAAGCUGAGACUAAUGUAGAGGUACAGGAAAUUGUAGUAGAUUAUCAAAAUGAACUGUUAGACAAGUUAUGCAUGCAAAUGGACAUUGAGCAUGAAGAUGAAGGUGGUCUGAGCACAAAAGUAAAUGUCUUAGAAAUCAAAAAAUCUGACACAGAAAAAUAUACAUUAAAGGCCAGUGACGUGUUUAAUCCAUGCCAUAAUUACAUUAUCACUGACGUAACUCAUCAUGGAGAUACAGAAAUGGAUUCCAAUAAUGGAGACAUGGAGUCUGGCAUUCAAACAGAUCAGUGUGCCAUUGACAAAGAGGGUGAGGGUGAAGAAGACAACACGUCCACAGAUUCCUUGUCAGAUGAAGAGAUGGAGCUGUACGUGUGCUGUCUGAGGGCGGCACAGAGACAAGAAAGUAAGGACAUAGCCUUGGGUAUUGGGAAGCGGCCCUCGAUAGGUAGAAGGGGCAGCAGGCCGUCCAUGCCAUCCAUCAGUGAGUCUGGUGAUGAGGACCUCCUGAGUAACCAGGAUUAUCUGCCAGACAAAGAGAAAGUUGAGUGUCUGCCAACAAGAACAUUGCCCCUAAUGGCAGGAGAGCAGGAUCCAACCAGGGCCAAUGUUAUGUGGUUGAAAGAGAAAUGUUCUUGGCAUAAUAUCUCAAGAGGACUGGUAUACACUAUCUUGUUGGUGGUGUUCUUUUUAGUUGCUUACCAUUAUGACUUUCUGGCCUGUUUAGGUCUUUAUUUGUUGUCUGUGAUCUGGCUGUUCUGUCAGGGACAGAAAGAGCCAAUGACAGAAAAUAAUUAGUUUAAGGCCUGUGAAUAUAUUAUUCAGUGUUUAAAAAGUGCUCCACAAUAAAGUUUUAUUAUUUGUCUUUAUUCCUUUUAUGAUUGUAUUGUAGAUACAAAAGGAUACCAUUAUAAUUUUUUACACGUUUGUUAAAUACAUGUCAUGUAGCAUACUGCAAAUCAGGAUGUUCAUUGUUCUAUACAAAUUAAAUCUAAAUAAAUGUCCUUUAUUUGACAUUCUUAUAGUAGUUGCUGUAUUAACAGUAGUUAAUAUAAAAGGUCUGACCAUUUCUAGUUUGAUAGAGAAUACAUACAGUAUACACAGUAUAUAAAUAUACACAGUGGGGAGAACAAGUAUUUGAUACACUGCCGAUUUUGCAGGUUUUCCUACUUACAAAGCAUGUAGAGGUCUGUAAUUUUUAUCAUAGGUACUCUUCAACUGUGAGAGACGGAAUCUAAAACACAUUGUAUGAUUUUUUUUAUAAUUAAUUAGCAUUUUAUUGCAUGAUAUAAGUAUUUGAUCACCUACCAACCAGUAAGAAUUCCGGCUCUCACAGACCUGUUAGUUUUUCUUUAAGAAGCCCUCCUGUUCUCCACUCAUUACCUGUAUUAACUGCACCUGUUUGAACUCGUUACCUGUAUAAAAGACACCUGUCCACACACUCAAUCAAACAGACUCCAACUUCUCCACAAUGGCCAAGACCAGAGAGCUGUGUAAGGACACCAGGGAUAAAAUUGUAGACCUGCACAAGGCUGGGAUGGACUACAGGACAAUAGGCAAGCAGCUUGGUGAGAAGGCAACAACUGUUGGCACAAUUAUUAGAAAAUGGAAGAAGUUCAAGAUGAUGGUCAAUCUGGGGUUCCAUGCAAGAUCUCACCUCGUGGGGCAUCAAUGAUCAUGAGGAAGGUGAGGGAUCGGCCCAGAACUACACGGCAGGACCUGGUCAAUGACCUGAAGAGAGCUGGGACCACAGUCUCAAAGAAAACCAAUAGUAACACACUACACCGUCAUGGAUUAAAAUCCUGCAGUGCAUGCAAGGUUCCCCUGCUCAAGCCAGUGCAGGUCCAGGCCCAUCUGAAGUUUGCCAAUGACCAUCUGGAUGAUCCAGAGGAGGAAUGGGAGAAGGUCAUGUGGUCUAAUGAGACAAAAAUAGAGCUUUUUGGUCUAAACUCCAAUCGCUGUGUUUAGAGGAAGAAGAAGGAUGAGUACAACCCUAAGAACACCAUCCCAACCGUGAAGCAUGGAGGUGGAAACAUCCAUCUUUGGGGAUGCUUUUCUGCAAAGGGGACAGGACGACUGCACUGUAUUGAGGGGAGGAUGGAUGGGGCCAUGUAUCGCGAGAUCUUAGCCAACAACCUCCUUCCCUCAGUAAGAGCAUUGAAGAUGAGACGUGGCUGGGUCUUCCAGUAUGACAACGACCCGAAACACACAGCCAAGGCAACUAAGGAGUGGCUUCGUAAGAAGCAUCUCAAGGUCCUGGAGUGGCCUAGGCAGUCUCCAGACCUGAACCCAAUAGAAAAUCUUUGGAGGGAGCUGAAAGUCCGAAUUGCCCAGCGACAGCCCCAAAACCUGAAGGAUCUGGAGAAGGUCUGUAUGGAGGAGUGGGCCAAAAGGAGAGUGUGCAAACCUGGUCAAGAACUACAGGAAAUGUAUGAUCUCUGUAAUUGCGAACAAACGUUUCUGUACCAAAUAUUAAGUUCUGCUUUUCUCAUAUAUCAAAUACUUAUGUCAUGCAAUAAAAUGCUAAUUAAUU